rnacentral:rRNA from 1 species
UACGGAGGGGGUUAGCGUUGUUCGGAAUUACUGGGCGUAAAGCGUACGUAGGCGGACUAGUCAGUCAGAGGUGAAAUCCCAGGGCUCAACCCUGGAACUGCCUUUGAUACUGGUAGGCUUGAGUUUGGUAGAGGGCAGUGGAAUUUCAGGUGUAGCGGUGAAAUGCGUAGAUAUCUGAAAGAACACCAGUGGCGAAGGCGACUGCCUGGACCAAAACUGACGCUGAGGUGCGAAAGCGUGGGGAGCAAACAGG